CCUACGGGGGGCUGCAGUAGGGAAUAUUGGGCAAUGGACGAAAGUCUGACCCAGCCAUGCCGCGUGCAGGAUGACUGCCCUAUGGGUUGUAAACUGCUUUUCUAUGGGAAGAAACACUCAUACGUGUAUGAACUUGACGGUACCAUAGGAAUAAGGAUCGGCUAACUCCGUGCCAGCAGCCGCGGUAAUACGGAGGAUCCAAGCGUUGUCCGGAUUCAUUGGGUCUAAAGGGUGCGAAUACGGACUACUAGAAAUGUUGCGGCUCAACCUUAAAAUUGCCUUUGAAACUGGUAGUCUUGAGUUCGGUCGAGGUGGAUGGAAGGUGUCAUGUAGCGGUGAAAUGCUUAGAUAUGACCCAGAACACCAAUUGCGAAGGCAGUUCACUAGACCGAUACUGACGCUGAGGCACGAAAGCGUGGGGAGCGAACAGGAUUAGAUACCCGUGUAGUC
rnacentral:rRNA from 1 species